AUUGAACGCUAGCGGGAUGCUUUACACAUGCAAGUCGAACGGCAGCGCGGACUUCGGUCUGGCGGCGAGUGGCGAACGGGUGAGUAAUGUAUCGGAACGUGCCCAGUAGCGGGGGAUAACUACGCGAAAGCGUAGCUAAUACCGCAUACGCCCUACGGGGGAAAGCAGGGGAUCGUAAGACCUUGCACUAUUGGAGCGGCCGAUAUCGGAUUAGCUAGUUGGUGAGGUAACGGCUCACCAAGGCGACGAUCCGUGGCUGGUUUGAGAGGACGACCAGCCACACUGGGACUGAGACACGGCCCAGACUCCUACGGGAGGCAGCAGUGGGGAAUUUUGGACAAUGGGGGCAACCCUGAUCCAGCCAUCCCGCGUGUGCGAUGAAGGCCUUCGGGUUGUAAAGCACUUUUGGCAGGAAAGAAACGUCGCGGGCUAAUACCCCGUGGAACUGACGGUACCUGCAGAAUAAGCACCGGCUAACUACGU
rnacentral:rRNA from 1 species